UAUCAAACUACACAUGACAGUUAAAGGGAUGUAGCAUAAAUCAUGAAAAAUAUUUUACAAUUUUCUCUGCAGUUUCUGUGCACUUGUGAUUUUAGACAACUCCACACCGAACAGGACUUUUAUUUUGGUCUUGAGGUGUGUGUGACGUCAUAAGCCCGCGCGCCGCGCUCCUGCAUCUGUUGUGAUUCGGCUGCAGAAAGAUAAACUCAACUGAGAUCCACGAGACACACUAUUAUAAACUAUUAUAAAGAUGGCGUUUAUUAAAGAGGAGAGUGAAGACGUGAAGAUUGAGGAAACGUUCAGAGUCAAACAUGAAGAUACCGAGGAACAAACAGACCUGAUGGCGCUGAAAGAAGAGAAUGAAGUACUGAAUGAAAUCAAAGAGGAAGAUCAGUACACGAAUCACCAUGAUUUAAAAACUGAAGAAAAAUCUUUUAGUUGUUCACAGACUGAAACAGCUUCCAUACAGGAAAGGGCUCAAAAUAUAAGUUUUUCACCUGCCAAGAGUGUGGAAAGAGUUUGACUCAUAGAGGAAGCAUUAACAGGCACAUGAGAAUUCACACUGGAGAGACGCCUUACACAUGCCUUCAGUGUGGAAAGAGUUUUCAUCAACAUGGAAGCCUUAAAGUCCACAUGAGUAUUCAUACAGGAGAAAGGCCUUUUACCUGCCAACAGUGUGGAAAAAGAUUCAAACGAAAAGUAAACCUUGAUGACCACAUGAGAAUACACACUGGAAAAAACCCUUUCACUUGCCAUCAGUGUGGAAGAAGUUUUAACCGAAAAGGAACCCUUGAUUACCACAUGAGAGUACACACUGUAGAGAAACCCUACACAUGCCCUCACUGUAGAAAGAGUUUCAGCCAAAAAGGAAAAUAUGAAUACCACAUAAGAAAUCACACUAGAGAGAAACCCUACAUAUGCCCACAUUGUGGAAAUGGUUUCAUUCAAAAAGGACACGUUAUAGACCACAUAAGAAUUCACACUGGAGAGAAGCCUUUUACCUGCCAACAAUGUGGAAAUAGUUUCCGCCAAAAAGGAUGCCUUAACAGACACGUGAAAACGCACACUAGAGAGAAGUAAUUUGUAUGCGGUCACUUGGAAUGAGUUUUAGAAGUAAAGCAGCCACAUGAAGAUUCACACAUGAGUAAACUGCUCUAUAUUAUCAGUGUGGAAGCAGUUUCACAGACCGGAAACACCUGAGGAAUCAUGUAAUAACUCACACUGGAGAGAAGCCUUUACCUGCCAACAAUGUGGAAAUAGUUUCCGCCAAAAAGGAUGCCUUAACAGACACGUGAAAACGCACACUAGAGAGAAGUAAUUUGUAUGCGGUCACUUGGAAUGAGUUUUAGAAGUAAAGCAGCCACAUGAAGAUUCACACAUGAGUAAACUGCUCUAUAUUAUCAGUGUGGAAGCAGUUUCACAGACCGGAAACACCUGAGGAAUCAUGUAAUAACUCACACUGGAGAGAAGCCUUACAUGUGCCAUCACUGUGGAAAGACAUGCAAAACCAAAGCAAACCUUGAGGUUUAUAUGGAGCUCGGGGCGUCACCUGGAGGUGACUUCCCGGGCUCCGUAGGUUUACAUAAGUCCCGAUCUACUUUCAGCAAAAUUCUUCUUUGUUGUUUGUUAAAACACUUGAUCAGCGGAGACAGCGAACACCCCGGGUGGCAUUUAGAUGAAUCUGUAAAUAUGUGCUGGUGAUUUUCCUUUCAAUAACAAAAUAAAAGUGCUGAGAAAACAGCAUUGGAGUGUUGGAGUGGAUCUCUGCAGUGUAUGGGUUAUUUCAGUUGUGGCAGGAGAAGGGCCAGAUUUAAUAAAUAGGGCAAAUUGGAGUGAGACAGCAAUUCCAAAAGCAUUAAUGGGAGUGAAAAGUUCUCAUGAUCGACUAACAGUACCUGGAAAGUCCUAGAAAGGUCCUUGAAUUUGAAGUUAACCAAGGUGUGGGAACCCUGUUUUUAGAACGCUUGUCCUCCAAAUUUAAAAAAUUUAGGAGCACCUUCUGAUCAAUAAUCAAAAAUUCGGUUCAAAAAUUAGCCUUCCUAAUACAAGGUGACAUUUGACUCCUUAAAGUGACUUACAGGGGUAUUUUCUUUUUACCUUUGCAAUGGCAUCAUUUUCAUCUGUCAAACUCAAAAAUUUAUGUUCAUAAGCUUUUUAAAAUCUCUAUUUAAAACAAUAUAAUAAGUAGAAUAAGACAAAUAAGUUACCAAUCAUAUGAAAUUAGUAUUAAUAAAAAAUUAAUUUGUACUACAGAGGUGGCACAGAAGAACACAAAAGUGGCUUUCAUUUUCAGACGUUUAAUGAGGUUCAGAGGUGGCAUGAGUAGAAUUAAAUUCAUAGAUUCAUGUGGACAUUAAUGUUUUAAAUACCAAAUUUUGAAUACAGAAAUAUUAAGUGAUUUAAAUAACUGAAAUUAUUAGCUAAAAAUGAAACCGUGGCGGUGGUGGCAAGUCGCUGAUUUGAUUACUGAAUCAUUCAUUCAAUUGAUUCGUUCGAACAGCUGAUUCAUUCCGGAAUGAAGCAAGUGACUGUCUUUAUGAAUGGGUAAUUAUGAAUCACUGACUCACUAGAUUCGUUCAAAAACGCACUUUCAGUCAUGAAUGAAACACCGCUGUGUUUGCUUUUAGAGAUGUGCAGCGGCUCAGCUGUUACUUUAUUUGGAACUAUUUUCGUUGUUGAUAGAGCAAAAUCAUGCAAUCAUUGUUUAUUGAUCUGUUGUAUUAAAUCAAUAUCACGUUUGCAAACUCCCUUAAUAAUUAUUAAAAGCUGUCACUCUCUCUUAUCGCGAUCAGUGGGCACACAGAAAAUGAGAGCGUGCGAGUGAAUUAUCAAGACUCAAAAGUACGUGCAAAUUUGAUACAUUCCAUCGGAAUGUGCGGGAAUGAGUAGAAUUAUUAUUAAUAGCCGCAAUCCCGCGCCGAAAUUCAAGUUCUGCUCUGUGUUCUCUGCUAAUAACCCGACUGUGAGUGAUGCGAGCGCUGUUACUAUGUUGUCAGUGAGAAGCUGCAGCUGUGGCAGGGAUGAUGUUUGGUGUGCCGGCAAAACAACAAUGCGCUACAUGUUUCUUUUCCCCUCAUUUUUUCCAAUUGAUGGAAAUCCGUCGUAGACUUGCUCGUACUCUAUCGCAUACCUUGUCAGUGUCAUGCACUUGCUUAGCCCUUUGUUGUGAGAAACAGUAAAGUGUGUUCAGCUGAAUUCAAUUUCCAUUUUGUGAAACGGGUAUAAAAAAGCUUAGUAUUCCACGGGCAGAGAUUUCAUUACUUCUAUUAUUAGCCAUUCAAGGCUAAACCUCAUGGCACUAACAGAGACCUGGAUCAAACCAGAGGACACUGCUACACCUGCAGCACUCUCCAGUAAUUUCUCAUUUUCUCACACCCCCCGUUUGACUGGAAGAGGUGGAGGUACUGGUCUGCUUAUCUCUUAUGAUUGGAAAUUUAAUCCUUUACCAGCUCUGGUUAUCAACACCACCUCCUUUGAAUCACAUUCAGUUACUGUUACCUACCGUCUUAAAUCCAUUUUGUCGUUGUUUAUCGGCCCCCCAGGACAACAAGGGUAACUUCUUGGAUGAAUUAAAUGUGCCGCUCUCAACCUUUCCUGAGGAUGGUACUCCCCUAGUUAUGCUUGGAGACUUCAACAUCCACCUAAAUAAACCUCAGGCUGCAGACUUCCACACUCUGCUUGCCUCUUUUGAUCUCAACCGAGUGUCAAUUAUGGCUACUCACAAAUCAGGCAACCAACUGGACCUUAUUUACACACGACACUGCUCCAGUGAUCAUGUACUGGUUACUCCACUGCACACCUUGGAUCACUUCCUCCUCACUCUUAACCUCAACAUGGUUCCUGACACAACACAUACCCCUCCACAUGUCAUCUUUCGACGUAACCUACGCUCACUCUCACCCUCACCCUCCCGGCUAUCUGCUAUGGUUUCAUCUUCGCUACCUUACCCUAAACAGUUAGCAUCUCUUGACGCUAACAGUGCUACUGAUACUUUCUUCUCCACUCCUUCAUCUUGUUUAGACACUGUCUGCCCAUUUUUUUUCCACGCCAGCCUGUACCACCCCUUCUGUCCCUUAGCUAUCUUAUGUUCUCCGCAAACAUCAUUCUAAGCUCAGGGUUGCUGAAAGGGUGUGGCGUAAAUCCAAAAAAUCCUACUGACCUUAAUGUGUAUCAGUCACACCUUUCUUCCUUCUCUGCUAAAGUCUCCACUGCUAAAAGGACAUAUUACCAUAACAAAAUUAACAAUUCGUCUAACUCUCGCAUGCUCUUUAAAACAUUUUUCUUGCUCCUUUGUCCCCCUCCUUCAUCGACUCUAACAGCUGAUGACUUUGCCACAUUCUUCAUUAAUAAAAUUAAAACCAUCAGUGCACAAUAUUCCACACCACAAUCUGUCAAGCGCAUCUUACCAGCAAACAUACACUCGUUCACAUCCUUCUCUUCACUCUCUGAGGCAGAAGUCUCCAAACUCAUCCUUUCUAAUCAUUCAUCUCAUUCAAGCCAUUUCUCCUUCAGUUGUACCUGCACUCACUCACAUCAUUAACACAUCCCUUCACACUGGUGUUUUUCCCUCAGCAUUUAGACAGGCUCAUAUAACCCCACUACUUAAUAAAUCCAUCUCUUUUAGAGACCUACUGACCGGUUUCCCUUCUUCCUUUCAUUGCAAAAACACUUGAAUGAGCUGUGUUCAACCAAGCCUUUCUCACACAGAACAACCUCUUGGCCAGCAACCAGUCUGGUUUCAGAAGUGGACAUUCAACCAAAACUGCCUUGCUCUCAGUUGUUGAAGCCCUAAGACUGGCAAGAGCAGAUUCCAAAUCUUCAAUACUUAUCUUGCUGGAUCUGUCUGAUGCUUUUGACACCGUUAACCACCAGAUCCUCCUGUCAACCCUAUUGGCAAAGGGCAUCUCAGGAACCACAAUCCAAUGGUUUGAGUAUUACCUCUCAGAUAGGUCCUUCAAGGUAUCUUGGAGAGGUGAGGUGUCCAAGUCACAACAUCUAACUACUGGAGUGCCUCAGGGCUCAGUUCUUGGACCACUUCUCUUCUGUGUCUACAUGGCAUCACUAGGCUCUGUCAUUCAGAAACAUGGCUUUUCAUACCACUGCUAUGCUGAUGACACUCAACUCUACCUCUCAUUCCGUCCUGAUGAUCCAACGAUAGCUGCUUGCAUCUCAGCUUGUCUAACAGACAUUUCUUGCUUCUUUACUUUUGAUUCUGGGUGGAUUGAGUCGUCGAAAAAAACUGCUGUUUGAGCUCUGUCCGGGCACUAAGCAACGAUGCGUGGCAUGUAAAGGCAGUCAGAAAGAUGUAAAUAAUAUAAAAAGCUGCUUAAAAGUGCUUAAUGAGCUUGGUCAAAACAUUCCCCCGAUUUGUGUCACACUUCUUGGACGAGUUACCACCUGUGAAAUUUAACAAUGUGGAUGUUUCAAGCCUGCUCUGUAAGAUGGAGUGCCUGCACAGUGAAGUGAACACGCUACAGCAUGCAGUGAAAUUGGGAACAAUCAAACUGUUCCAAAAUGUAUAUAGUGUAUUCCUGUGUUGUAUGCAUGCUCCUAGGUUAUAGUAGCUUAUAGUACUGUAGUGAAGCUCCAAUUACUUGGAUCUAGACAUAUGAAUGUAUCAAUGCCUUAAUGUUUUCCAAACCCUUGCAUGUUAGUUAUCAAAAUGACCGUCUUCCGAUUCCUGGAUUAAUGGUGUAUAUUAUGUCACCAUAACGUGUACCAUACUCUUUUUACCAUACUCUGACUUAAUAUUGGACAAAUCCCCCAGACCACUAUAAACCAUGCAAAUAAGGUGUUGCGUGAGACAAAGGAACCUCUCCCACUCAGAAUUCACACCUCUACAUUGGUCAAUCUGCCAAAGAUGGGUGUGACCAUGGACCCAAACCCAUCAUUGCUCAAUCCCUUUGAGACACACUCUCCAAGACUCAUCACCCUUGAGUUGGACCUUCUGGCAGUUUUUAUCAUCAAGUAACUUUGUUGAUUCACUGUGGACUUUCCAAUCUUCAGAAGAACCCGACAAAAGCCUCCAGCUCACUCCUACUGAACUCAUCAAGAACCUCUGUUGUCUACCGCAUCUGGACUCUUGUUCAGCAGCGAAGCCAAAGCAAGUAACCGUUUCCAACUAGUUAGAUGCAUGUCUAAGUUUGGGCCCCUUUGUUAAGGUGAUUCUUGAUUCUCUGAUGAUUCUCACUAGGUUGUGGUUAAUUGAUGCAAACUACUGCCAUUCUUUGUUCUUCUCUCUCUCUCUCUCUUUCCUUACUUUCCUUCAUUCUGUAUAUAUGUGUUUUGCUUAGUCUAGUUGUAUGUUAGCUAUAGUUUCAUUUAUUAAAUUCAUUAUAUUCACAAUUGAUUGCCUCUGUGUUCUGCUCACGAUUCGGAGUCACUGAUUGUUGAUCUUGCUACAUGCUAAGUUAAUGCUAGUACUGUAUGAAGUAGGAAAGUUAUUCUUUCUUGGCCAGGAAAAUAAUCUUUCCUAGAAUUGAUAAAUGAUUAUACUGUAGGUGGACGAACAGAUUAAAUCAUUGUAAUAUUGAUUCUGCUACAGUUAAUUGUAAGAUCUGAUCUAAAUAUUCAUAAUUAAUUAUAACCAGUUAUUAUUAAUUAUAAAUAUUUCCCUUUCGAGCUAAUUUGCUAUA